AUGCUCACUGUGGCAGCACAUAGACCUGAAUUAGGAUGAUUCAGAGCAUAUUAGUAUGGCCCUUGAGCAAGGAGGACAUGCAAAUUCGUGAAGUGUUCCAAAUGAAA